CGUAUGGAGCAAGCGUUAUCCGGAUUUACUGGGUGUAAAGGGAGUGUAGGUGGCCAGGCAAGUCAGAAGUGAAAGCCCGGGGCUCAACCCCGGGACUGCUUUUGAAACUGCAGGGCUAGAGUGCAGGAGGGGCAAGUGGAAUUCCUAGUGUAGCGGUGAAAUGCGUAGAUAUUAGGAGGAACACCAGUGGCGAAGGCGGCUUGCUGGACUGUAACUGACACUGAGGCUCGAAAGCGUGGGGAGCAAACAGGAUUAGACUA
rnacentral:rRNA from 1 species